GAUGAUGCAAUUGCAGUGACAAUGACAUCGUGUGAGAAUCUAGCUGUUUAUAUCAAUUUCAAUGUAUUUUAUGUACUCACGAUCCUGAUCCUUCUGACUUUUUGAUUCUUUUUCAGGAAUAAAGCAUAAAUCUGCGAUUCUCAGUCGUUUACCCUACCCAAUAUGAUUAAACACAAUUUCCCAGUCUAGAUUCAUUUGUAUUUUAGCUUCAAUCAAACUAAAGACUGGGAAACUAAAAAAUAUUAGUGUCUAUCAGAAAAUGCUAAUAUUUGAGUCCUGUCUACAUUAUUGAAACAGUUAAGUAAAAUGAAUAAUUAUGUUUGGCAUCAGCUGUUAUUUAACCAUAUACCAAUUAAAAACAAUAUAUCAUUUAUUUUAUUUAUGUUUGUUCAUGGAAGAAUGCAAUUUUUUUACUUUUUAUUUUUAACUUUUAUUUAAUGAAUAUAAAUUUCCAAAGUACAGCUUAUGGAUUACAAUGGCUUCCCCCCCACAACGUCCCUCCCACCCACAACCCUCCCCUUUCCCACUCCCUCUCCCCUUCCAUUCACAUCAAGAUUCAUUUUCAAUUCUCUUUAUAUACAGAAGAUCAGUUUAGCAUACAUUAAGUAAAGAUUUCAACAGUUUGCUCCCACACAGAAACAUAAAGUGAAAAAUACUGUUUGAGUACUAGUUAUAGCAUUAAAUCUCAAUGUACAGCACACUAAGGACAGAGAUCCUACAUGAGGAGUAAGUGCACAGUGACUCCUGUUGUUGACUUAACAAAUUGACACUCUUGUUUAUGGCCUCAGUAAUCACCCUCGGCUCUUGUCAUGAGCUGCCAAGGCUAUGGAAGCCCCCUGAGUUCACUGACUCUGAUCAUAUUUAGACAAGGCCAUGGUCAAAGUGGAAGUUCUCUCCUCCCUUCAGAGAAAGGUACCUCCUUCUUUGAUGACCUGUUCUUUCCAUUGGGAUCUCACUUGCAGAGAUCUUUCAUUUAGUUUUUUCCAUUGGGAUCUCACUUGCGGAGAUCUUUCAUUUAGUUUUUUUUUUUUGUUUUUUUUUUUGUUUUGUUUUGUUUUUUUCCCCCAGAGUGUCUUGGCUUUCCAUGCCUGAAAUACUCUCAUGGGCUUAAAAAAAUUUUUUUGUUUCAUAUGAGGGUGAGAAGAAAGGAUAAGAGAUGUAACAUUUUGGACAUGACCUGUAAUUUUCUGUAGGUUGCCUAGAUGUCAACAGAUAACUCUGAGCAUCAAGGUUAUGCUGUGAUGAGUACUGGAAUUUCAACUUCAGUCCUUUGGACUCCUGACAGAGAGCCUUUUCUGCUAGGACACAUUGGUUUUGGCCCUGCUCUUUGGACCUUACAACAUUGGUUUUAUGGAAGACAGAACUCAGUGAUUACUAAUGUACUUAUUAAUUCUUUACUAUCUUAACAGUGCAGUGUCCAAAAUGAUAGAAAGAGUGGCCCACAACUGUGUUCUAUGUAUAAGGCAUUGAUUGAGUUCUGACCGCACUGAAUAUAUUCAGGGAAAGAAAGCAUAUGGUUAAGAUACCUGGACUUCAAGUCAUAUGUGUAGAAUGUAGCAUAUCUUGUGGUUAACAUGUGUUGAUCUUUACCUUCUUACAUGCUGAAAAGUAGAUAUAUGGUAAACUUAAUGUUAUCCUAAGAACAGUACAUUAAUAUUAUAAAAUUAUGAAGAAAUAGUGUCAUAAGUUGUUUUAUCAUGUCCGUGAAGGGAGAUGAUCUGGUUGUCUUCUGAGUGCUGUUUUCCCAGAACUUUGCAUGAAAACAAUGUAGUUGUUCAAUAAAUAUUUCCUAAAUGAAUUGAUGAAAUCUUGUCAGAGAUAGAAGUCCUUUUAAAGACUAACUUUGGCAUUCUAUUCUUAGAAUCAAAUAUAGCAAAUACUGUAAAGUAUGCUAGUAAGAAAAUGUAAAAGCACAAUAUUUAAUAGCAAAUUCUAAUUGGAAUACUUUUUGACAUUGUGAUCUGAUGUGAUUUGGAAAAAAGUGAAUUUCACUGGGAAAGAUCAACAACUAAUUUUGCUGUCUGCUCUUUCCAGGUCAGAAUGCUCAGUAUGGGGCAAAGAAUAGACAGAGAGGAAAUGUUUUCCUACCUACACUAACACCAGCUGGCCUCUCAAAGGUCUCUGGGCAUGUGUGACAAUCCAUCAUUCCUGUCUACUGUCUAGUUUUCCUGCAGAAGGUCAUUACCUUUGACUCUCUCCAAUAGCUCUCCUUCAGGUCUUGUUCUGAUGAAGCCUGCAGCCAGGGGGAAUACAGUUGAGCACUUGCCUUUGGCUCCUCUUCUGGACUUGGCAAGACUGUUCUCCAGGAGGGAGAGACAGAAAUUCAGCCAUGAGUAUCUUUUCCAAUUAUGUUCCUUGCCAGGCUGGAAUCUGCUCCUUGUGUAAACACCUGAGAUCCUGCUCUUCAUCUCUACAGUUUGGUGGUUUAGACACUUAUUUCCACUGCCAGAUAUGGGUUAGCUGGCUCAGUGUAGAAAACAUACAGAGCAGUGAUUAUAUAAGACAUCUCAAUCUACAAUUGUGAUCCAAAAUUCACAAUAUUCACAUCAAGAUUUUUCCAAGUGUGGCAUUCAUUCUAACACUCCUUGUAAAUGUUCCUCAUGUUCUAUAAUUACCCAAUUAACUCAUAAUGUAAACACAAGACAAGGGAAAGAUGAAAUGUUUUGAGUAAAACACACUAAUGAGCAAGAUACAAUGGAUAAUAUUAAACAUUACACUUGCUUGUUUUAUUGAUGCUUAUUAUUUAUUUAUUUUUUGACAGGCAGAGUGGACAGUAAGAGAGAGAGACAGAGAGAAAGGUCUUCCUUUUCCGUUGGUUCACCCCCCAAAUGGCUGCUGUGACGGGCGCACCACGCUGAUCCGAAGCCAGGAGCCAGGUGCUUUUCCUGGUCUCCCAUGCGGGUGCAGGGCCCAAGUACUUGGGCCAUCCUCUACUGCACUCCUGGGCCACAGCAGAGAGCUGGACUGCAAGAGGAGCAACUGGGACAGAAUCUGGGGCCCUGACCGGGACUAGAACCCGGUGUGCCGGCACCGCAAGGCAGAGGAUUAGCCUAUUGAGCCAUGGCGCUGGCCUGUUGAUGCUUAUAACCAAUGGGGUUGAUUAAUUGAUUGAUUGGCUAUUACUGUUUGUUACUAUAUCAUCUCUUACUUCCAUUCACAACUCACCUUCUACUAAAGUUUUAUUUGAGUAAUGCCUCGGAAGAUGAAAAGAUUCCAGGAAUUAUAAAGCACUGAUUUAGGGAAGUCUGGAUUGCAGAAAGACCAGCUCCAUCCCAGGCCCUGAGACAGGCAUAAUUUUCAUAUUUUACAUCUCAACAUUGAAGAUCUAUUUGAAGUUGUCUUAUUUUAAGGGCUUUCUAACAUCUCUUUCUAACACCUGUCUAGAUAAUUAACAAAGCAGUAGAAAGAGAUCAAAGUUAUGGUUAUUUUCUUGAUUCUUUACACAAAAAUGCCCCAGGUACCUGUCUGGUGUUUGAUAUAAAAAAGAAAUCUGAAACAGUCAUAUUCCUUGAUAUAUAUCACCAAUAUUUUGAGCUGCUAGCACAUUUGCCUGUUACGUCAAGGCAUCUGAAAGUUUAAAGCUUGGCAAAGCAAUGUUUUUCUUUUUCUUCUUCUAGAAUCCCAGGGUAAACAUUAAGCAGACAGCAUUUCUGCUUUGAGCAUUAGAGGGAAAAAAAGACUGAAUUUGAAAAGCCUACUAGUACACUUUGGGGAUUUCGGAAAGUGUCAUUUGGCUAGGAGCUGAGUGGAGAAGCUGCCAUUCUGUAGAGGGGAUAGGAUGGAAGCCGCAUGGCCUCAUUCAUAACUUCACAGCUACUGCAAAUAUCAGCUGAUGAAUAUUUAUGUUAUCCCUGGCUUAGACCCGAAAGACAAACAGGGGGAAAAAAAACAAAAGUUAGGAAAAGGUCGUCUGAACUCUGUGGGAUUUUUUACCAACACUUUCCAUGCGCGAGCAGUAGCCCUGAAUGAAGUCAUUCUGUGCAGGGGCCCAGCACAGGAAGACAGGGUCUGUUCAUUAGUGCCCCGCACUUUGUUUGAACCUUGUACAUUCAUGGGGUCCUGAAAAGGAAACCCUUUCCUUAAAUCAAACAUACAGGAUAUAGCGCUACCUUACUUUUUUUUUGGGGGGGGGGGAAAUUAUUGCAAAUUGCUCCUCAUUUUAAAGUAACUUCGAUGGUUCAAAGAAAGAGCAAGUCAGUUAAGGGGAGCUUAAUACAUUUUUUAAAAGGAUAAUUCCAGUCCAAGUUAACACUGUGUUGAGUUCAGUUUCAGAAAAUAUUUUGAAAUUUAUGAGAAUACUUCAAAAUGUUUGAGAAAAAUGGAAUUGGAAGAUAAAGCACAUUUUCCAUGAAUAUAUGGAAGAUCCCAUGUAUACAAAUAAUGUCAUUAUAUAUAACUCUACUGAAUAUCAUAGUAAAAGAAAAAUUUUAGAAAAAAUUUUUUCUUUUUUUAUUUUUUAUUUAGUAAAUAUAAAUUUUCAAAGUACAGUUAAUGGAUUACAAUGGCUCCCCCCCCAUAAUUUCCCUCCCACUCCCACCCCUCCCAUCUCCUGCUCCCUCUCCCAUUCCAUUCACAUCAAGAUUCAUUUUCAAUUCUCUUUAUAUACAGAAGAUCAAUUCAGUAUGUAUUAAGUAAAGAUUUCAACAGUUUGCACCCACACAGAAACACAAAGUGUAAAAUACUGUUUGAGUACUAGUUAUAGCAUUACUUCACAUUGGACAACACACUAAGGACAGAUCCCACAUGAGAAGUAAGUACACAGUGACUCCUGUUGUUGACUUAACAAUUUGACACUCUUGUUUAUGGUCUCAGUAAUCUCCCUAGGCUCUGGUCAUGAGUUGCCAAGGCUAUGGAAGCCUUUUGAGUUCGCCGACUCGAUCUUAUUCUGACAGGGUCAUAGUCAAGUGGAAGUUCUCUCCUCCCUUCAGAGAAAGGUACCUACUUUUUUGAUGGCCCCAUUCUUUCCACUGGGAUCUCACUCGCAGAGAUCUUCCAUUUAGGUCUUCUUUUUUUUUUUUUUUUUUCCAGGGUGUCUUGGCUUUCCAUGCCUGAAAUACUCUCAUGGGCUCUUCAGCCAGAUCCAAAUGACUUAAGGGCUGAUUCUGAGGCCAGAGUGCUAUUUAGGACAUCUGCCAUUCUAUGAGUCUACUGUGUAUCCCGCUUCCCAUGAUGGAUCGUUCUCUCCCUUUUUGAUUCUAUCAGCUAGUAUUAGCAGACACUAGACUUGUUAUGUGAUCCCUUUGACUCUUAGACCUAUCAGUGUGAUCAAUUGUGAACUGAAAUUGAUCACCUGGACUAGUGAGAUGGCAUUGGUACAUGCCACCUUGAUGGGAUUGUAUUGGGAUCCCCUGGCAGUUGUUUUCUAAAAUGUUCUAGAGAUUUUAGUCUUAUUUCAGAAAAAAAAAAAUACCUCUUGAGCUGCAUUGUAGAAGAAUUGAUCAUUUGAGAUUUACAUACUACCUCCCACUGUGUUCUCAUCCACAAAUGUCACCAUUGUCCUCUGCUGCCAUGUUUGCCAUCUUUACCAACUUCAGAUUGAUCUGAUGUUAUGGAAACAAGAAAGGGAAACUCAUCAAGGUGAGAGAACUUUUCUAUCUGCCAAAUAUUAUUAUUGUCAGUUUUGGUUUGAGAAAAGAGGUUCAAAAAUUUUACUAUUAUGAAAUUAUGACUGUCUUGUGGAUUUCUGUGAUGUAAACAAACUGAUUUCUUAGCACUUGUGGAGAAGUAGGUGUCCUCACUGGGAAUCCUCAGAAUAUUUUCCUUGAGAUGAGGAUUGGGUACUUGGGAUUAAGGAGGAAAUACUGACGGAAAGGAAGGAGAAGUACAGUGAGAAAACCAGAUACAGAAUGGUUGAGGUAGCCAAGGGAAGUUCCAACUUUGACAGAAUUAUGCAAGGAGGUCUAGAUUAUAGUUGUAUGUGAGAAUUUGUCCACACAUGAGGCAAGGAAGUUAUACUUUUAUAGUUCUAUAAGGUAAGAUAUUGGCUAAGCGUUAUCCAUUGAUUGGUGUUGGAUGGUGCAAUGGCUGACUAUCAUGACAUACAUCCAUGACAUAGGGAAUUCAAGAGCCUCUAAAUGAAGCCCAGCCAUGUAUCCUACAGCAGGCAUUAUCCUAUAAGCACUACUGGGAAACAAAUUGGUAUUUGUGGAACUGAGGAGAGAAAUCACAGAAGAGGUAUGUAUUUCAUUCUCCACAUAAAAUUCUUAGUCAUAGGGUCUUAAGGACUGUGAUGUGUAGGUCCAGGACUAGUUAAGACUUCAAAGAAAAAUUGGGAGGGAGAUAUUAGCACUUAAGUGACAUGUGAAAUUUGUAAAGUAGAUUUGAACAAAAUGCCUGUAGAUUGUACAUGAGCAGUCAGUGAAUCUCUUUCAACAUGCUCCUUCCCAUGAUUCUGGAAUGUCUAAUUCUGAAGGCAUGUUGCACAAAUAUAAUGAAGACUGAGGGUGAACAUUCCCUAAGACCACCCAAGAUUUGUAGAAUCCUGUAUUUAUUUUGCUUCAAUUUUUAAGAGUUAACUACCCAAAUAAUAACUACCCAAAGUGAACAGUGAAUAAUCUGAAAAAUUCCACCUUUUUCAUCUUCCUUUCUUGGCUUAUAAACAUAAAGGGGGGCUUUUUCUCAGGUUUCUCAAAAAAGCAAAAGAGUGAGUGAGAAAUUGGCCCAUUGACUAGAUUGGGCAGGUCUACUUGGUGAAUGUUGAGAGUAGAUUUAACUUGGAGUGUCAGCAGUGACAUACACUCUGUUUUCAUUGUUGAUUCUUUGGUUGUUUUACUCAGCUUUUCAAGACCCUCAUGGAGAAGGCUCACCUAAGAGGACUUUUAUAGGAGUGUGUUUUGUUUAAAAUGAUACAUUAUUCAUAUGAAGGGAUAUCUUGCAUGGCCCCUGAUGCAUUUCUACUCAGGGGAAAUGAGGACCUGAAGGAAAGAGUUCUAGCCAGAUAGCUAUAAAAGGAUCUGGCAGAAUAUUAUAGGGGCAGGUACAGAACAUAAAUUUUCUUACUACUAUUGAUUGCUCUUUUAGAAAACAAUUGAGAUGCCAGCCUUUUGGUAAUUCUUAAACUCUUUAAAUGUCAUCCAAGUUACUAUUUGGUCAUGACUUUAAGUGCUGGGAGACCUCCUUUAAAAUGCAAUUCAGGCCAAUUGCUCAAGUCAGGGCCACAAUUAAACAUCAUGGUUAUCUUUGGAUAUAAUUAGGGGACAUCUAAAAUAAAAAAAUAAAUAGAUAAAUAAUGACAAUAGGGAUAAUGUCAAGGGAAAAAUAAGGAAAUGCUAUUUCUGAAUUGUUUACUGUGAGCAAAGAUUGAUGGUUGAAGAUAGAAAAAUUCACUAAAACUAAGCACUGUAAAACUAUGACUGAAGCAUUGAAGCUAUAGAAAAGUGGAUUUAUGGCAUGCUAAAGGAAUAAUAUUUAUACAAACUCUAUAUUAAAAAGUGGCAUGGAUCAAAAAUAUGGCUUGGUUUGUGACAUUUUAGCCCUCAUUUUAUUAUAGGUUUUGAGGUUUGAGGGAGAGCUUACCUAAGCAUUUAAACUACUGGUUAAGUAAUUUUAUGUACAUCUUUAGACUUUUAUAUGACUGAUGAGAGCAAUUACUCAAGUGUAUAACACUAAUGAGGAUUCUGAGUCCUGGAAUAUUGUGGGCAUUUGAUAAAGAUUUGUUGAAUGAGUGAAUGAAUGAAUGAAUUUUCUAUGAAUUAUGAACUUCCCUGAAAGGUAAUAACAAGACCAAAUGCUAAAACUAUUUUUGUUGCAUGAAAUCCAUAAAGAUUAAGCAAUCACCAUCUAUUUCUAAAAUAACUUCAAUCAGAAAUCGGUCCAGUUAGAUUUUACCUCCAAAUUCGGAACUAGGCCGCAUAAUGGAGACUAGAAUACUUUGCCUUUUACUGAACUGACAAUAUGUGGUUUCAAUUAUAAGAUUAUACAAAGCUAAAGACUCAUAAGCCUUUAGAUCUUUGUUCAUGUUUGCUUCUCUUACUGUCCCUAUUUCUUAAUCGAUUUGGCUAAUGAUUGGUUAAUAGGGAUCAAACAGGUUCACGCUUAGGGCUUCAUCAUUCUUGGUUCCUUACAAACCAUGCACAUCUUGUUUAGGUGAUCCUGUCUCCCUUCUUGUGCUCCUGAAGCUUUCCAUCACAACUGUAUUCCUGUUGUGCCAUAAUUUCUUACAGGUGUAUCUCCCUAUCAUGAUGAGCUGUUGGAGGAAAGAUCCUUUGUCUUUCUGAUCAACACAGUAGGCUGAGAUUUUUUUUUUUUAGAGUGCCAUAACUGGUAGACAAAGACAUACAAGAAACAAUUGUUAAAUAAAUAAACUUCAGUGUCCAAGAAUAAUAUUAGCUAGAGAAUGAUCUAAAGAAAGGCAAUGAGAAAAUUACUGAUGUGGUAAAUAUUAAUGUGGCAAGACAGCCAUCAAUGUUGUGAAGGUUUUUACAGCUUCUCCCUUCUUUUGCUUUGGUUGGCCCUUGCUUCUGGCAUCAUAAAUCACAUACAAUAAAUAUUCUUCCUGUAGGUGGCAAUAUUUGAACUCCUCUUUUUGGGGGAGAGGUGGAUGUCAUAAGAACAAAUGUAUGGCACUUUGAAGACAGAUAAGAAUUUAAUUUGGAGUGUGAGAAGAAGAGGCAGCAUUCAGAACUGCACAUUUAUUUACUGGCAUCAUGGAGUCUCUCAAAAAUGAUGUCUAGAGCAUUUGACAUGGAUGAAAAUUCAGAUUAGAAGAGUACUCAAAGAUUGCUUGUAGAACAAUCCCAAGCCACCCUUCAUAAUAAAUUGUGGCCAUUAAAAUAUGCAUCAAGUAACUGUUAUCCUUGUACUCGAUACUUGCCAAUUAAAAAUCUAUUAUUUUAUGUGCAGUAUAUUUGAAGCAGAAGCUAUCAUUCAUGUUAGUUAGCAAACACUUUAUUUUCAAAAUAAGUAGAUUGAUAUAAACAUAUAAUGUGGCCGGCGCCGCGGCUCACUAGGCUAAUCCUCCGCCUAGCGGCGCCGGCACACCAGGUUCUAGUCCUGGUUGGAGUGCCGGGUUCUGUCCCGGUUGCCCCUCUUCCAGGCCAGCCCUCUGCUGUGGCCAGGGAGUGCAGUGGAGGAUGGCCCAGGUGCUUGGGCCCUGCACCCCAUGGGAGACCAGGAAAAGCACCUGGCUCCUGGCUCCUGCCAUCGGAUCAGCGCGGUGCACUGGCCGCAGCGCGCCGGCCGCGGCGGCCAUUGGAGGGUGAACCAACGGCAAAGGAAGACCUUUCUCUCUGUCUCUCUCUCUCUCUCACUGUCCACUCUGCCUGUCAAAAAAAAAAAAAAAAAAAAAAAACAAAAAAAAAACAAAAAAAAACAUAAUGUGUGAGAGUAGAGAAUAUUUUAUACUGUUUUUUGAAAAAAAUGGUGUCAUAUAUUGUAAGUUAAAAUAAACUUUUAUUAUUAUACUUUAAUGCAGUAAAAUUCCCUCUUUUUUUACUUCUAGGAGUUUUGACAAAUGCAUAGUCAUGUGAUCACCAUCUCAGUCAAGAUAUAAAAGUUUCCUCACUCCCCCAAAUUCUCCAGUAACUUCGUAGUUAAGUUUUCCUUUCUCCCAAGCAAUUUCUGAUCUAUUUUCUGCCCCUAUAAAUUUUUACUUUUCUAGAAUGCCAUUCAGCGGAAUACUACAGUUUGUAGCUCUUUGAGACUGAUUUCUUUCAUUUAACAUAAUGCCUUUGAGAUUUGUCUGUGUAGUUAGGUAAAGCCACACUUCCUUCAUUUUUUUCCAUUCAGCAGUAUUCCAAAUGCCAUAGUUUAUCCAUUUACUUACUGAGGGGAAAUUUUUUGUGAUUACAAAUAAAGGUGCUAUAAAUAGUCAUGUUCAGUUAGUUUGUUUUUUGAAAAUGUAAAAUUUCCUUUCAUUUGUUUUAAAUAACUAGAAAUAGGAUUGCUUGUCAUAUAGUAAGUAUUUAGCUAUGUAAAGAAAUUGUCAAACUCUUCCAAAGUGCUUAUGCCACUUUCUUUCCACUAGAAAUAUAAAAGAUUGUCAAUUAGUUUGCUUCUUUUGGUAUCAUAUUUCAAAAUAUUAAAUAUUCUUACAGAUUUACAGUGUUACAUCACUGUGGUUUUAAUUUCCAUUUUCAUUUUGAGUGCUAAUAUUGAGUACUCUAUUCUUUUGAUCACUUUUUGAUUUUCUUUAUAUUACUAUAUUUUAUGUUAUAUAUAGUAUAUAUAUAUAUGUCAUAUAUUUAUUUGAAAAUCAGAGUUACAGAGGGAAAGAGAGAGAGAGAGAGAGAGAGAGAGAGAGAGCUUGCAUCUGCUUGUUCACUCCCCAGAUACCUGAAAGGCCAGGGUUGGGCCAGGCUGAAAUCAGGAGCCAGGAGCUUCGUCUGGGUGUCUCACGUGGGUGGCAAGGGCCCAAACACUUGGGCUUUGUUCCACUGCUUUUCCCAGGCCUUUUGCAAGGAGCUGGAUCAGAAAUGGAGCAGCUAGGACAUGAACUAGUGCCUAUUUGAGAUGCCAGCAUCACAGGCAGCUUUACUUACUAUGCCACAAUGCCAGCCUCAAGUUCAAUAUAUAUUUUUGAUACAAAUUAUUUUUCAUAUAUAUGAGUUGAAAAUAUUUCUUCCAGUUGUAGCUUGUCUUUUCAUUGUGUUAACAGUGUCUGUAAAGGAGCAGAUAAUUCUCAAGUUUUUUUUUUUUUAAAUUGUAUGUAUCAUGUUUUUCUGUAAUGAUUGUGCUUUUUGUUGUCAAAUCCAAGAUUUCUUUUCCUAACUCCAGGCCACAAAGAUUUUCUCCUCUGGGCUCUUUUAUAUUUUCAUUGUUUUUAAAUUAGAUUUGUAAUAUUUGUUUAAUUUUUUUACAAGGUAUGGAUUGAGGUUACAUAUAUUUUACAUAAUUUUUCCAAAAAAGAUCUUCUAUUCAUUCUUGAAUACUAUAGCAGGCAAAUUUCUUUUUAAAUCUUGAAAAUGUGAAAGUUGGGUUAUACAUUUGGUGCAGAAGUUAAGAUGCUGUUUGGAAAGCCUGCAGCCCUUAUCAGAGUUCCUGGUUCUAAUCCAGCUUCCUAGAUGUGCGCCUGGGAAGAAGUACAUGAUGCCUCAAGUACUUGAGACCUUGAGAUCCACGUGAAAGAUCUGGAUUGAAUUCCUGGCUCGUGGCUUAGGUUUGGUCCAUCUCCGGCUGUUGUGGACAUUUGGGGGAGUGAACUAGUGAUUCGAUGGUCUCUGUUUCUCUCUCUGUUUUUCAAAUACAUAAAUAUUUUCUUAAGACAAGAAGAAAUGUGAAUGCAAUUUUCUUUAUAAAUGGGAGAUCUGAGAAUCUGUUGAAUGCUUGAUGAAUUCAAUUAAACUUCCUGAGCUUUUAAAUUUAUCUAAAAAUGUGGAAAUAUGCUAACAGAAUUCUAAAAUCUUUCUGUGCCCUUCCUUUACCUACUUUUUCCUAUUCUUCCCCCAUACAUUUCUCAGUGGUUUUCACCCUCUCUCCCUUCCCUUCUCCCAUUUCCCUAUCUGGGCAGUAGAUGGUGCUGUGCUGCAAUACAUCUAUUUGGUGCUUUCACACAGUGUUUAAAUAGAAUAUGUCAUCCUGUAAUUCCACACCUUAUGCCUACACUUUGAGAAACUAUCAUUAAACUGUUGCUGUUCACACCCCGUGCUCUUGGAGGUGCAGAAUCCCUGAUAGGGGUCAGGUCACUGUAACUUGUAUAUAUCUUCACUUCAAAACUUGUCAGGAGAUAAAGGCUUUUAAAUAAGAAGGAAUUUAAAAAAAAAAAAAAAAAAAGCAAUGAUGGUGGUGACCCAGCAAGCCCACACUAUGGUUCAAUAGGACAUUUGAGUUGAUGUUUGUUUAUCUGAGAGCAAAAAUAUGGAUGGCCACGAAGAACCAGGGGCUAGGAAGCCCCUUUGCCCAAAAUAAAAUUGCAAGGUUAAUGUGUUUGUGAACCACAGAGCCAGCUGCCUGUCCUUGCCCAAUAUGACUUUUGUGGUGGCAGCUGUUUCUACUGAGAUUUGAUGAGGACAGAACUGGAGGUUGUGGGAUAGGAGGUUGUGGAAGUGGGAGAUGGAUCAUAAGAAUGAACUCUGGUUUCUUUAGAAAGGGAACCCAUGGGAUUUAGAUAAUCUCACUUGCACGUAGUGCGCGAGAAGAGGUGGGUAUAUGUGGUCACCAGCUUCGUAUCCUCAGUUGAUGAAUUAAAAGUCAGGGCAUGGGCUGGUGUCGUGGUGUAGCACGAGGUAAAGCUGUUGCCUGCUAUGCUGGCAUUCCAUAUGGGUUCUGGUUCGUGUUCCAGUUGCUCCACUUUUGAUCUAGAUCCCUGCUAAUGGCCUGGGAAAAAGCAGCAGAGGAUGGCCCCAGUCCUUGCUACUACAUGGGAAACCUAAAGGAAGCUUCUGCCUCCUGGUUUUGGCUUGGCCCAGCCCUGGCUGUUGUGACCAUCUGGGGAGUGAACCACCUGAUGGAAGAUCUCUUUCUCUUUUUCUCUCUGUAACUAUGACUUUAAAAUAAAUAAUCAUAAAAUAAUAAUGAGUGCUUAAUUUUCCGAAAGCUUAACAAGCUUACAUUUUACAGAAAAGGCACUAUAUUCACUUGCAAAACAAUCAUUUCUUAUUUUCCUCUGGCCCAAGAACCCUGACGGUACUGGGUAUUCACAUUUCCUUUCACUUAGUUUUCCACUGGCCAAAUGAAAUGCCCAUCUUGGACAUCAUCCUGGGAUAUCAUGUAGAAAUAGUAAUGAUAUUCACUUGAUAGGGCUUUAUGGUUUCAUGAAGCAAUUCACACAUAUAGACAAUUAUCCCUUUCCUUAGAAAAUAGAGAUUCCAAUGAAGACAUUGGAGGUGAAAGUCAGAGAAGGUAAUUGGGAAAGAAACGCAUAGGCUGAUGCUGUUGCUAUUCAGGCUGGGAUUUGGUGCAGUGGUUCGACCCUGCUUGGGACACCUGCAUCCCAUAUUGGCAUGCCUGCUUUGAGUAUUGUUUCCACUUGUGGCUUUAGCUUCUUGCUGCGUGCGUCAUAGAGGCAGCAGAUGAUGACUCAGGUACUUGAGUUUCUGUGACCCUGGUAGGAGACCUGGAUUGAGUUCCAGGCUCCUGGCUUUGGCUUGGCUCACCAAUGACUGUUGUGGGCAUUUGGGGAGUGAACCAAGGGAUGCAGGAUCUGUCUGCCUGUCUCUCUCUCUCUUUGCCUUUCAAAUGAAAUGAAAUGAAAUACAAAUAUAAAACAUGCACUAAUGCUUACUGCUAUUCUUGUGUAGAUCUGCAUGUGGGUGUUUCAACCUAAUAAAUCCAAACCUGAGCCUCUGAUAAGCAACCUCAAUUAGCUUGAUUUCCUAUCUUUUUCAUCUUGAUAAAUUACAAUGCUAACCUUUCAGUAGUUAGGCCCUCAAACUUUGAAGUUGUCUUUGACUCCCUUUCUCCUACCAUGCACCUGAAAUACAAGCAAAACCUAUUGGUUCUGCUUUUAAUAUAUAUUCAAAAUCUUAAAGCUUCUUACUGCCUUCCAUGGUACAUCUAAGUCUAAUCAACCACUAAUUCUUAGGAAUUAGGACAGCAGUUUUCUAACAGAUUUCCUUAAUCUAAUUUCAGCAUAAUAGCCACAGCAGUGCUAUUAAGAUAUAUGAUAGAGGGGAACAGGCGUUGAGCAAGCAGUUAAGGUACAGCCUACAAUGGAGGGUCAAAUUCUAUGCCUGGCUAAGUCCCUACUCUAGCUUCCUGCUAUGCAGACCCUAGGAGACAGUGAUGAUGAUUCAAGUAAUCUGGGUUCCUGCCAUCCCUGUGGGAGACCUACAUUGCUUUCCAGCUCCCAGCUUCAUCCUGAUUCAUGCCCAGUCCUGACUGGGCAUUUGGGAGGUGAACCAGAAGAUGGGACUUGUCUCUUUCUAAAUGAAAUUUUAAAAAAGGAACAAGUUAUACCUUGUCAUUGCAUUGCCAGGAGUCUUACAAUGGCCUUCUAUUUCAUACUGAAGAAGAGAAAUGGCCUCCCAAUGGCCAUCAAAGCCCCAUCUGACUGUCCUAUGGACACUGUACUGAUGUCCAUCCUUCCUUUACUUAUGCCACUUCAGCAGUCUUAGUGUUCCAAGUACCCUCCAGGUAUGCCCCUGUGUUGGAAUCUAUUCACUUGUCCUUUUCCUUGAGUGAUUUUUCCAGAUCCAGAUAUGAUUUACACUCUCAUUUCCUUCACACUUUAUUCAUUGCCACCUUCUUACUCUGGCCUAACCUGGUUACUGAAUUGAAAAUUUGACCAAUCCCUAACACUUCCUAACCUUUCCUUGGCUUAAUUUUCCUCUUCAGCAUUUAUUACAAAUGUGCUAUAAUUUGUGUUUAUUUGUCUUGCUUAAGUUCCUAGAAUACAAACUCCACCAGGACAGGAAUUCUUGUCCUUUCAAAAUAUCCCCAGAGGCAUUAGAAGAGCUUGACACAUAGCAGGCACCUGACAACUGACUAUAACUGACUGAUAACUCAUGAAUGAAUGAGUGUUCUCAACCUCACUCCCAUGGCAAGUCUGUGGUUCUAGGAGAACCCCCAAAGAAGAAAGACUGGAGCUGGCACUGUGGUGCACUGGGUUAAGCCAUGGCCUACAGUGCUGGCAUCCCAAAUGGGUACCAAUUCAAGUCCAGGAUGUUCCACUUUUUUUUUUUUUUUUUUUGACAGGCAGAGUGGAUAGUGAGAGAGAGACAGAGAGAAAGGUCUUCCUUUUGCCGUUGGUUCACCCUCCAAUGGCCGCUGCGGCCGGUGCUCUGCAGCCGGCGCAUCACUCUGAUCCGAAGCCAAGAGCCAGGUGCUUCUCCUGGUCUCCCAUGCGGGUGCAGGGCCCAAGGACUUGGGCCAUCCUCCACUGCACUCCCUGGCCACAGCAGAGAGCUGGCCUGCAAGAGGGGCAACCGGGACAGAAUCCGGUGCCCCGACCGGGACUAGAACCCGGUGCUACAGGCAUAGGAUUAGCCUAUUGAGCCGCGGUGUCAGCCCAGGAUGUUCCACUUCUGAUCCAGCUCCCUGCUAAUGCAUCUGGGAAAGCAGCAGAGGAUGGCUCAAUUGCUUGGGCCCCUGCACCCACCUGGGAGACAAAGAAGAAGUUCCUGCCUCCUGCCUCCUGCCUCCUGCCUCCUGCUUCCUGGCUUUGGCCUGGACCAGCCCCAGUCAUUGUGCAGAUAGAAGAUCCUCCCCCUCCCCUCAGAUCCUCUCUCUCUCUUUCUUUCUCUCCCUUCUCCCCCCCCCCCCCCCAUAACUCUGCUUUCAGAUAAUUAAAUCUUUGGGGGAAAAAGAAGAAAGGCUAAUGCUCAACUAGAUUCCUGGAAUUAGAACAUUUUCUGAUGUAAGGACUAAACAUUUCCAAUGAACUCAAUACUCCACUGUCACUUCAUGAAAAAUACAAUUUCAUGGUGUAACUCCUGGAGAUUCUGAUUCAAUAGGUCUGAGAAUCCAUGUUUUUAUGUGUUCCCAAACAAUUUUGAAUCUUAGCUUUAUUUGAAGACCCACUGGCUUAGAGAACAGUUUCUCAUUAACUAAAAAACUAUUUAUUGAAUAUAUGCUUUGUUUUAGAAACUAUGCCACAGAAUGGCUGUGACCUGAAGCCUUGUAGGAGAGUUGGAGAUGUAAAAUUACAUUUGCAAUGUAGAAUAAUAAAUGCUUUCUUGAGGCAUUUAUUAAUUGCAUGGGUUGCAGAAGACAAAAGAAGGAUGGAACUGAAGUGGAUCUGAAGAAUUCUCAGAAGCAAAUUCAUGAUGAAGAGGAGAUAACAAGGCAGGCAAAGGAUAGAAGACACUGUAGACAGGGAAAUGUCUUGGUGUCUGAAUUCGGGGCAAUUGCUACAUUCCUGAUAUCUGCGUAGAAUAUCUCCAAGUCAUGCUCUAAAUCUAAGGAAUGGGGAAAUGAGGCUGCCUUCCAUUUUCCCAAAAUAUCUUCACCUCUCUUUUUCAUAGCAUUCUCUUCCAGGUGUCCAGGAGUCUAAUGUAUGUCUUGAAAUAAGAAAACAUGUUUCAAGGUUCUUUAUUUAGUUUUCCUUUUAAAAUGGUAUGGUGAAGUCCCUCCUGAUCUAAAGUAACUAAUAGAUUUCUGGAGUGUUCACAUUUCAACAAAAAGAAGGCAGCCCUUAGUAAUAAAUGAAAUCAGGCAGGCAUUAGUGACAGCCAACAGGAAGAGAUCCUUUUGGGUUUGAAUCUACAAUUUUUCUGAUGUUACCUCAUAUUAGGAAGACCAUAAGUUGGUGCAGAAUUGAUCUCUGGUGAUUCUAUGCUAAUUCACCCUAACAAUGGGGGAAAUGGUAACCGCCAUCAUUUCUUCCAAACUUUGAUGUAAGUCUGUAUGUGUCAAAUCAAUAGUCCACAUUUCUUUUUCUGUAAAGCAAUAGGUAAUACAUAUUUUAUGUUCUGUGGGUCACUUAGUUUCAGUUAAAAGUACCCAAUUAUGUAAUUAUAGUGUGAAAGAAGCCAUACAUACCUAAAUUAAUUAGGGUGACUGUGUUCCAAUACAACUUUAUUUACAAAACAAGUGAUUAGCUAAAUUUAGUCUGCAGAUCAUGGUUUUCUGACCCCUGCAUUAAAUUUAAAGGAACCUCUUCUGUUCUUAUUCUAUUGGCAAAAGUCAGUCACAUGUCCCCACUUAGAAGCAGAGUGUCAGAGGGAUGGAAUUUGGCUAUGUGCCCAGGGAGAGAAAACUGUUGAGCAUCUGGCCAGUUUCUGAAAUAUCACGUAUCAGGUAUAGUCUUCAUUGGCAUUUUACUGAGACAGACACACAGCUGUCCAGUUCCAACUUGCUGAAGGUCAAGAGUGUUCCUUUACAGGACAUCAUAGCACAAGUUUUCUAAGCAGCCCUCAUAAGUUUUUAUCUUAAAAUUUUAAAUAUUUAUUUUUUGUUUAUUUGAAAUGCAGAGAAACAGAGACAGAUAUAGAAAUAAAGAGAUCUUCCUUCUGCUGGUUCAAUAGUUCUGCAGCUUGCAACAAUAAAAAAUCUGAGCAAAUUGAAGCAAGGAGCCUGGAAUUCAAUUUGGUCUCUCACAUAGAUGGCGGGAAACCAAGAACUCAAACCAUAACCUGAUGCCCCCCUAUCAUGUGCAUUAGCGGGAAGCUUGGAUGGCGAACAGAGCUAGGACUUGACAGAGCUAGCCCUCUGACUUGGGUGUGGGUGUCCCAGGGAGCAUUUUAGUGACUGUGACAAAUGUCUAACCUACUCUCACAUGUUUUCUAAGCUACUUUAUCCUUUAGUUUGGGAAAUGGUGGACAUGUUUUGCUUAAAAUUAUCUUAGAUCUGGUAUAGAUCAGGUUGAAAGGUUUUAUUUCUAGGCACAAAGAUGAGUGUUAUCCCAGGAAGAUGACUGAAGUACAACAUAGUCUCUACUGGUAAUGAGCAGUCAUUUCUAGAGAGCAAAGGUAAGGAACACUCAUUGUUAGCUCAACCUUCAAACAUCAGCUGGGAGUGAAUCUUCUUUGGGUAUUGUUUUCCUUUCUUGACUCCUUCUGAAAUCCCUGGAGAUCGGUGGAAAUCUUGUUCUGAAAAUGUACAUUCAAAGAUCUAACUACGUUAGCAGCAAUUUGUGAUAAAAUAUGUGUUUCCUUGAAUCUUCAAAAGAUUUCCAUUUAAUAUAUUGCGAGCUCAGAAAUAAGAGUUCUUUCAGCAGCCCUGUGAUAUAAGCAGAGAAGAGAUUCAACUAAAAAUUAUAUAUACAUAAGAGAUGCAAGUGAUCCUCACUAUCCCAGCUCUCAAAUUGUCAUAUUUUAUGAUUGUAUGAUAGAAGUAGUACAGUAAGGACUAUAAUCCUGCACUCUUCCCCUUACAUCUGGGAAACCCUGGAGACUUGUUUUGCCCAACAAAAUGUAUUGAAAGUGAGAGUGCAGACUUGUACCAUCUGCCCUUUCUCAAAACCCCACUGCUUCCUUAUGCAAAAGCCAGAGGGUAGUCCAGGGGAAGAUAAGAGAGAACAAGGAGUAUGGAACAAUUGUCCCAGCUGAUGCUUUCCUGGAUGUACCAGCCUGUCAGUGCCUCAAGAUUCUGACAGAGCCCAGGAAGGCAUUGCUUAGAUCAGCAGGAUGGCCUGGUUGAAUGUAUGUUUAUGGAGCUGUUUGAUCACUUAUGUGUGAUAUUUAUUGUAAGAGAAAACUUUGAUCAUACAGGCUUGAAAAGCAGAAUUUUAUUUGUAUUGCAGUUAUUGGAAGGAUGACAUUAGGUACAAGGCAUGUGCAGUGCUUCAAAAUGACCUAUGUGACUGAGUUAUCACAAUUUCCACAGCGAACAUAAUGUGCUGGCUUUUAUUCACUCAUUAGUAACUACCUAGUUGCAAGAUGGAUGGUUCAUUUCCAUUAUAUAAUGGUGUUCAAGGUGUUUUGAAGAAGAUGGGCAAAGAGAAGGAGAGUAGUAGCUGUCCCUUUUUCUAGAGAAGUGACAGCCUUUCUAGAAUCCUCAUUUUAGCAGUUUUUUGUUGAUGUUCCAUUGGCUGGAUGAUGCUACAUGGUUAUCCUUUGGCUGGAAGGUGUUUAGGAAUGAGGAAUCUGUGUGACUGCCACAGAAAGAAAUAUAAAACUGCUGGCAGGUUAUGCAUAAUGAUGUUAUUUUUCAGGGAAAGCUUCACAAAGUCAACAAUAUUGGGCAUGACAAUGAACUCAGGUGGAAAAGAUGGGAAGGUAUUCUGCAGGGGGAAGCUACACAUAUCAAAGUUACAUAUAGUAACAAAGCAAUAUAUCCAUUUCAGAAAUUCAAAAUCUGCAGUCAAGGCCCAUAGAAGCACAAAUAUUUGCUCAAAAUAAUAAAGCUGUAAAUUGAGUAGACAGGUCUCAAAAGCACUUCUUCAGAUGUAUGGUCCAGGGUCCUAGGUGGCCUUGCAAAAAUGGAAACAAUUCUUAUGAUCUUUGAGUAUUUUGUCCAUGUGCCCUUUAUUACACUGAAAUGUACCUAUUUCUUUUCACCAAAGAGUAGACCAGAGAGCCGUAUUGUUAUUAGCUAGUGAAUUUGUGCACAUUUUACCACAAUUUUCUGUAGAACACUGCCAAAAUCAUUACUCAGUUACUCAUAAAAAUCACCUCUGAUUCACCCUGUCCAUGCAUAUGAGCUCUCUCACAUCUAUUACAUUGCAGACAUCUAUUCAUUUUACAAUAAUAACCCUGUAUAUCUAUUGCAUUCAUAUCUGCCAGUUUAAACCCCCAUUACCAUGAGAGAUUUAAAUGCAAUAACUUAAAUUUUUGCCUGUUUCCUUGGGGCCCCUCAAGUCCAUCCUGCAUCUGAACUUUACGUGGGUCUUUCUAAAACAAAGCUCAAGUCAGGAAGACACUGGUCACACCAUCUAUCUAUCACUACACUGCCUGAAAUUCACUCCAGAAAUUUUUGUACCUUUUUAUUUUGGGAGAUACAGCAUCUAGAGUUGCCAGGUGUAGUAGUUUCAGUUCACUUCUCUUGUCAUUGUGCUCAAUCCAAUUUAAUGUUUGUCUUGCCCCUUUUUAUUUUCAAAAUGCAGCCAGUUUGAAUGAUCAAUGAUAUGAUCAUUCUAUACUUUUAUCUCCUUUUUUUUUUUGGUAGACUUUAUCAUUCUCUGAAAGUAUUGACCUAUUUUUGAAGGACUUGUGUAGAAUAUUAUCCUCAGUGUCUAAAUUUCCCUCUCCAAAAUUUAUUUAUUUAAUUUAUUUGAAAUGCAAAGAGACAAGUGACAUAAAGAGAGACAACUUUUUUAUCUACUGGUUCAUUCCCCAAAUGCCCAAAACAACCAAGGCUGGGCCAGCCUGAAGCCAGGAGCCCAGAACUCAAUGUGGGUCUCCCAUGUGUGUGGCAGGAGCCCACUCACAUGAACUAUCAUCUGCUGCUACCCAGGUUGCACAUUAGCAGGAAUCUGGAAUUGAAAGUGGAACUGGUAUUUGAACUCAGGCCACAUGAAAUGUGGGCAUCUCAAGCAGGGUCUUAACCCCUUUGUCAAAUGCCAGUUCCUCCUUUUAUCAGGUUUACAUGAAAAUGAAAGAUGUGUGUUUGCUAAUGGAAAGAAGGGAUAUGAGGGAUUGCCCAGCAAGCGGGAAAAGAUUUUUAACUAGCGGGAAAAGUUAGGGAGACUAACUUAUUUUGUAUUUAAACUUUGUGAUUAUCCUAAUGCUUGUCACAUUUACCUCACAUUGUUGCUCCUACUGUUAGAUGUAAAGAAGGAUAUUGUAUUUCUUGAUCAUAGGAGGAGUGAUGGUGGUUUUCUUAUUUCCUUUGGGUUUGAAGCAGGAGACAAACUGAAGAAGUGAGAAAGAAAGAUGAGUUUUGUGGACUGUUUAGGAGGCAGCUUACUCUGCAAAUUCACACGGGAUAUCAGUCAUUUUUCAUUUCGCACAACAGGAGAGAAGAAAGACUCUGCUAGAGUAUCUGUCUCAAGUCAGGGAGCAUGAAGAACAUCUAUGAAGAAGUGUUGCACUGACCCUGAAUCAUUAGAAUCUGUCUCCCCAGAGAUGCCUGUUGUUAAGUUGUACUUGGAGUCUUAAUGAUCUCUGCAAAUUUCCUCAGCAAUAUGGAUCAUGGGAAGUCAACCAUGAUUUUAUCAUUACACAAAGUACAACCCACACACACACUCAGAUCCAGUGUGUGUAGUGUCUGUGCCAGUGAUGGGGAGAAAGAAUCCCAAGCAAAUCCCAGGAUAGAUAGGUAGUCUAUCCUUGCAGAGGAGAUGCAUUCUCAUCUGCAGAGAAGAUGGGGACACUUAAAAUUAUUACCAUAGAAAGAGUUCGAGAAAGGAUCAUGGGGCGGGUGUCUGAUGCUGUGGUAAAUGCAUCCGUUGUGACACCAGCAUCCCAUAUUGAAGUGACUGUGUUCAAGUCCCAGCUUUGCUCGCAAUUCCAGCUUCCUGACAGUGAGUACCCAGGGAAGCAGCAGGUAAUGACACAGGUAGCUGGGUUACUGCCACCCACGUGGGAGACCCUAAUUGAGUUCCACUCUCUUGGUUUCAUUCUAGAUCCAUCCUGACUGUUGUAGGCAUUUAGGGAGUGAACCAGUGGGUGGGAAAAUCUGUCUCUCUGACUUCCAAAUAAAAAUUUUAAAUAUUUUAGAAUAAGAAAAAUGACUAGGAGGAAUUGGAAUCACACCUAAUGUUGGAGGUCAUUCUAGAUAAGAAAAUCAAGCUUGAAUUUUUGUUUAGUGCUUUUCUUGUAAGAAAAAACUAAGAAUAAAUAAGUGACUGAAUGUUAUCUGAUAAGAAGUUCUUGCUUUUUCCUACUUCUGGCAUAGUUCCUCCUACUUUAAUUUUUUUUUUUUUUUUUUUUAAGAGAGAGGACUCAGUAUAGCCGGAAAACAGAUACAUAGGAAAAGGGAUUUACCAAAGGCAACAGAUUUUUUUUUAAGGUGUAAGGUUGAACUAUGCCUUUUGAAAGCCAGAGACAUGCACAGAUUAUUAGGUUAUGGGCACUUGGGCCUUUCUUGUCAAUUUAAUAUUUUUUGAAGUUUAAUGUCUCAGCAGUGAAAGGAAACAGAAGCAGCUAAUUCUGACCCUAAGAGUUCUUUCCUGACCCCUUGAUACCUAGGCACAAUAGGGUGACUUCAGAACUCAGUUAAGGCCUUAAACUCUCUAUUUCCUGUCUUUUGUUAGCUUUAAUCUGACACUUAAACAUACUUCAAUGUGGACUUUUGUGUGGGAAUGCUUUUGAUUUUUUUCCCUCCCAAGAAACCCUAGCCAAGAGACAGAAAACUAGGAUGGAUUUCUAAUCAUAUGUAGUCUGUAUCUUAAGAAGUGAUAUGCUGUUUUUAAAAGUCCUGAGGGCUACACUGUCUUAGGGCAAAUUUGUACUCCCAGUCCUCUGAAGUGUGGAUGUCUCCAUGAGAAACUCACAUACUGAAUGGCUCCAGGGGCCACAUUCUGUUUUCUGUGAAUGGAGGUUGAAGCUGAGGUUCUUGGGUUUGGGAAAGUGAGAACUGUUCCCAUUCUAUGGGAUGGUGUGGACAGCCCUAUCAAAUGCACACAUCUUGUUGGGUGUGCAUCUGUGGGGGCUGGGGAAGGCAAGAGCUCCUGCACAGUUGAGUAAAGUCUCCCCUUGAGCUCCCUGACCUAGUUACCUGGUCAGUCAUUUCAGCCACUCAUCUGUCACCUAUGACUAAUGGGCCAUUAGAUUUGGAAUAUUCUUUUGCUGAUUGUGGUCUGUUUAGCUGCCUUUAUUGGGAGAGGUUCCUAUUUCCACUUUAGUGACUGGGACUGUGUCUGGCAGUGAGGGGAGGAGUGGGAUGAUACAUAGACUUCAGUACAGAGAAUGAUGGAAAAGCAAAUAACAGGCCAGAGUGAGUAACAGUGAUUCAAAGAGUUAAGCAACAGAGUUCACAUUGCAGUAUUAUGACCAUGGGUUUAAUAGAGUGUGAUACAUGCUUGUGACACAGAAGCCUAUAAAUGCUGAAUUACUGAAUGGAAAAAUAUAUUGUUACAAUAUAUCAGUUAUAUUUUAGCACAUAUAUGUUGCAUUUGUUUAUAUGUAUACUUAUAUGUACAUGUGAUUGUGUUCAUAAACUGGAAAAUCAUCUGAUUUAAAGGGCUCACCUUUAUUAUUCUAUUGGUGUUCUAAUUCAGUGUUACCACUUUGACAGAUUUAUCAACUUCAUUUCCACAUUUGUUUACAACUGUCACAUUGUUUAUUGGAAAACAUUCUCUGUAUUCUAUUAACACAUACUCAACUUUUACUAUUUGGUAGUUCAUGCAAAGAUACAAUGUCAGAAGAUACUCCAUCUGAGUGUUAAAACAUAAUUUUGAAAAUAGUAAAAUUAUGACCUAUGUAAAUAUAAAGAUAUAUCAAAGACUGCAUUCACUUAUUAUAAGCAACACAACCAGUAGGAUGUUAAAAUUGGUUCCAAUGAGACUUUGAUUUACAGGAAUUUAUAGGAUUCAGCUGUGUGGUUGUGGUAGGAAUCACUCACAUUGCAAAAUAACUAUACCCACAGAUCUAAAAUAGCCAAGGUGUAUUUUUGUUUUUGUUAUCUUCAAGUCUUGGAGUACAUUUUCUUGAUAAUAGGAUGUAUUGAUUUGUUCAUCACUUCAAAUGUUUUGGAGACUGUAUUAUGAGUGUAAAGUCAGUGUCCAUAGGUGAAUUUGAGAAGGUACCUGUUAUUUAGGAGCUCGUGUAUACACGGAGAAGGGGAAGCACUCAGAUAACUAUAGUUCAUUUGUGAAUGUGAAUAUAACCUUGUUAAGUCAUUCUUUUGUGGAAAGGCCUACAUGACUCUGUAGAAGCAGAAUUGAGCAGAUCUUCCUAGUUAAAAGGUAGAGAAACCCCAUCAGCACAAAGGAACUAGUGACCAAGGAUUGAAAUAUCAGCUUUUCAUUUUAUCUAGGGAGAAAAGAAAAUGAAAAGGCUCAAGGUGAAAAAAGAAAGGCAUAUUUAUGGAAACUGCAAAUAUUGAAAAAUCAGGUACUGGGGAAGAUUGUGCAUGGGUGGUAAAGAUCCUAAGAGGCAGGACUUAACUGAUAAACCAUAGUAUGCCUAAAGAGCUGGAAGACUAGUGCUGAACUUUAAGCAGGAGUGAUCGAAUCACUUCAAUGUUUAAGACCAUACCGUGAAGCAAUUUAAAUCUGUAGCAGGAAAGUUAAAAUGCUAAAACCCAGUUGAGGACUGUGGGGGAGGACAGGACCAGAACUCCUUUCUCCCACCAUUCUAGCACCUUCAGAGUCAUGCUUGAUGCUUGUUUGUUAGCAAAGGGGCUUCUCCUUCAUCUCUGCCCUCUUUUCUUUGUCCCUAAUUUUUUCCCUUUCUCUGCCCUCCUUUCUUCAUUUGUCCCUUCCUUUCCAUCUUUCUCUCUUUCUGACCUUGUUUCCAUGAAGUUUAGUGACUGAGGAAACACCUGUUGCAUGUCUUGUGUUUUGUGAUCCCUUGUGUAGAAUUAGAGUGAUUCUAGGCGGUACUCUGAUUCUCAAGACAGUCCUGGAUAAACAAGAAUACAUUCCUACUCUCUGAUUCUCAUUUUAAAAUCAGCUGCUAAAGCACCAUGACAUCAUCCUAGGCAAGGUAAAUACAACUGCACAGUUUACUGCUUUAUGACUAUGACACGCUGGGCCAGGUUUCCUGAACCCUCUCUGGACUGGACACUCUUUGCUCUCAUUGACAAAGCACUCAGAGGUCACCUCCCAGGAUGAGUUAUUUCCACAGAUGGCUAAUUUGGUCCAUUUGUCUCAACUUGUGCUAAUUUCCUUCCAGAGGAAGAGGGUUUUCUGAUCAUAUUAAUUUUCCAUCUAAGUAGUAGUGGUGGUGGAGGGAGCUAGUAGUGUAUUUAUAUGUAACUUUUUAAAGAUUUAUUUUAUUUAUUUGGAAGAGUUACAAAGAGUGUUAGAGACAGAGAGAGAGAGAGAAAGAGAGAGAGAGAGACCUUCCAUCUGCUGGUUCACUCCCCAAAUGGCUGCAAUGGCUGGAGCUGUGAGGAUCCAGGAGCUUCUUCUGGGUCUCCCACUUGGGUGCAGAGGCCCAAGCACUUUGGCCAUCCUCCACUACUUUCCCAGGUGCAUAAGUAGGGAGCUGCAUCCAAAGUGAAGCAGCCAGGACUCGAACUGAAGCCCAAAUGGGAUGCUGGGGCUACAGGCGUGGCUUUAACCAGUUGCUGCACAGCACUGGCCACUAUAUGUAACUUUCAUUUGUUACCAUGGCUCUAUCAGAAUGCCCAAGUUCAUCAGUGAGAAAGACUUUAUGCAAGUGUCCAGAUAAAUUCAACCUCAUUAAGAUAACCCACAUUGAUGUGUGAAAAAAAAUGACCAGUCCAUUAGAGCUUGAUGGUUUUGGAAAUUAAUAGAUUAUAAAUGAGAAAUAUUGUCAAAUUAUGUAAAUUUGGAGUAUUAUGUAGACGGAAAAACACAAAAGGACCUUUGUUUUUUCCCAAUGUGUCAAAAGAACAUUUAUUACUCUCAUACCAGCUUCUCAUGAUUUCUUACCAGAUGCCUUUAGAGCAGGUGCUUUCUGGGCAGGAGUUUUCUGAAGCUUUGGAGAAUGAGGAGAUGGAGCUACCUUCUGGUCUGUCAUUUUCUGGGCAGGAAUUUCCUGAGCUGUAGAUUUUUGGGCUGUGGCCGUCUUGUGUGUAUGUAUGGUCACUUUUUUUUUUUUUUUUGGUGGAGUUUUAGUAGCUACAGCAGCAGCAACAGCUGAACAGAUACAGCACACAAAAGAAAUUUAAUAGGAAGGUGUUUGAUCAAUGAGUACCUACUUCACAGAAAAAUAAAAUCACUUUUCACUCUAUGAUAAGGUAACAGUAAUUCUAGGCUCAUCUAAAAUAAUGACCUCAUGGUUGUGAUGGCUAUGAAAUGCUCAUUUCAUAACUAUUCUAGAUUCAGUUUUGUCCAUGUCUGAAUUAGGGAGUCAGAGUAGAGUAGGCAUAGAGGUGAGCUAAGCCUUCAAACAUUAUAAUGUUAUUGUCACGUUAUUCUAAGUACAACAGUUAAAAAAAAACCACAUUAUUCCUAGCAGAGAAAAACAUGCAAGUAAUAUGUGCUUGUGAUACAAAGAUAACACCCGAAAUCAAAGUAAGUAGGAUUGUAACAGCAUGACAUUCAGUGGUACAGAGCAUUGUAAGGUAAUCGUGGAACUUCCCUUCCAUAGCUUCAGGACUCUUAGUUCCAUUAAUUUUUUUUUUUCCUCAGAGGUAAUUAAGGUUAAUUUCUUGUCUCUUUCUGAAGCUUUUCUUAGGGCAUUGUGUUAAUUAAGGUUCUCUUGGUUUCAGGCCAACAAAGCAAAGUAAAACAAAACAACUUUCUGGCUGACUUAAGCCACAAAAGAGAAUUCACUAGGAGGAUGGAAGAAUACCAGAGUGUUUUGAGGAAUUUGAGCAAGACUAACCCCUGUAGACUUUGGAAAUGGUAGGCUAAAGGAAAGUUAGGAGACAUCGCAGCACCGUAUGCCAGAGGAUGCCACUGAUGUGAGUUGACUACAAAGCCUCUGGCACUUCUUUAAAUUUCAAAUAUGAUUGACCAAGCUAGAUUGGGCCUGAGAGCUGUGGUAUAGCUGGAUAUGUAGGGAUUAAGGAAUGGGCAAAUCUCACAGGGCAGGAAGCUGAGGAAAUUGUCUGGUAAGAGCGAAUGGUAUCUUGGAAUACAGAAACUCCAUAAAGUGUAUUGUACAUAAGUAUAUCUCUUUUUACUGGCAAACUAAACACAGACCCAUAGUGGAUGUGCUGAAUUCUGAAUUGAAUAUCUUUUACAUUUUAAUUUUCAUUGAGGUCAGGGAUGCUUUUCAUAAUUGAUGCUAUUUCAGCAUUAGCUAUAGUUUCAUAGACCCAUUUUUCUUUCUCUGUUGCUUAUAAAAUAGCAAAGUUUCUCCAUUUUGGCCUUCCAGUGACUUCUGCACAGGUGGCAAAAAUACUGUUUGCUCCUCAGCCAAGUGUCAGUUAUAUUAGAAUUGCACACCUGGCACUGUUUUUGAGAAUCCCUAAGAAUUGAUGCCUGAAAUUAUGUUCAUAGAAAAGCCUCUUAGCUAAUACAAAUAGAUCAAAUAUUAUAGAUAAACCCUAUGGGGCUUUAUAUUAAGAGCAAAAUACAAUGCUUGGUGCUUUGGGUUAGAAUAAAAUGAAGCUAAUCUCAUUAUGAUAAGAUAAUUACAGAUCGAGACCAUGAUUUUGAUCUAGCCUCAGUAACAGUGAAAGAAUAAAUCCCUCUUGUUGGGAAGCAUCAUUUUGUGGUUAUUUUUUUUUUUACAACAGCUCCUGCAAACUGACAUCCCCUUGGAGAAGUAUAUCAUCCUAUUAUUCUUAUUUGCUUAAUUUAAAUGAGUAUACAUUUAUUUUAAACUGAUAACAUUAUAGCUUUUAAAUCAUGUAUGACAUGAUAUAUUGAAAUAUGUAUACAAAGAGGAUCUGCUAAAUCUAGCUAACAAAUGUAUUAUUCCACAUAGUAAUUUUUGUGGUGAGAGCACCUAACAUCCAAUUCAUAUCCUGCAAGAGUAGAACAUAUAUCCUUCUCAACUGGCUAUGGAGUUACAUACUGACAAUCCAUCGUAAGUUGAAAAUGCAUUUGAUGUAAGUAAACUACCAAACACCGAAUAAUAGCCUAUUGUACCUUAAACAUGCUCACAACAUUUCCAUUGACCUCAGGUUGGGCAAAAUCAUCUAACACAAAGUUUAUUUUAUAAUAAAGUUUUGAAUAUCUCAUGUAUUUUAUUGCAUACUGUAGGUACAGUAUUUUUUCCACAUCCUAAUACUUGUUAUCUUUUAUCUUUUUAAUAAUAGUCAAUCUAAUUGGGAUGGGGUGAUAUCUGAAUGCAAGAUUGCCACAAAAUAUGUGGAGAAAGGAGGUGGAUGUUUGGCAACAAGGUUAAGAGGCUACUUGGAUGCCCACCUCCCCUAUUGGAACACAUGGCCUCUUUUGCUUCCAGUUUCCUGCUAAUACACACCAUCGGAGGCAGCAGUUAAAUUAAUGAAGACUUAGGAAAGUUGAUUGUCUUACUCAAAUCCGGACAGUUGGUCAUUGACAGGACAAGAAUACACAUCUCCUAACUUCCAGGAGCCAAGAGGACAACAUUCACCACAGUUAGGCAACUUAAAUAAUGUUGCCAAAGUUCUUUACAUUCAUUAUAAAAUGGUAAGUAAAGAAAUAAACAUCGCUACAGUUACCAUGGAGUUAAACUAAAAUUUCAACAUAUCCUGUUGAAAGGGCUUGAUCUCUCCACUUCAGAUGUAAUUACCAACGUAAAGAUUGUGGUAGGAGAGACGCCUGGGAAGGAGUCAGCUUUUGUGCUUUUGUGAACCCUGGACAUCUAAGAGUUGCAAUGUCAUUUCAUACAUUUAUUAAUUUUGGGCUGGGUAUGGUUUGGAAAGACUGUAUGAUUAGACUGGCUAAUAUGGAGGCAAAAGAAACUAUUUUUCCUUCAUCCUUUGGGGUGAUGCAGUAUAUACAAAACUACUUUUUUAGUGAUUUUUUGAGUACAGUUUUGUCCUUGAAUUCAAAUGUGAGUCAACUGAAAGAAAUAUUAACUGGAAACAUUUUGGAAUAAUGCUAACACAACACAACUUCAAGACUAAUAGAAUUCAUUUGAUACUGAGUCACAUACGACUGGUGCCUUUUAUAUUGUUAAAAGAGCUUCCGUGCUAUAAGUGGAAUUUUUCAAAGCUUCACUUGAUUGGAUGAGUAGCCAAGAUUAUAAGGACAGCUUUUGUCCUUUAGUAGUUUUUUUUAAUAUUUUGUUGCGCAUUUCCCUAUUUUAAAGAAGACUUUUUACUCUGUAACUAUAAAAGAUAAAAGAAAGGCACCAGUUCUAGUCCCAGUUGCCACUCUUCCAAUCCAGCUCUCUGCUGUGGCCUGGGAAAGCAGUAGAAGAUGGCUGAAGUGCUUGGGUCCCUGCACCCACAUGGGAGACCAGGAAGAAGCAUCUGCCUCCUGGCUUCGGAUCGGCGCAGCUCUGGCCUUUGUGGCCAUUUGGGGAGUGAACCAACAGAAGGAAGACCUUUCUCUCUGUCUCUCUCACUGUUUGUAAUUCUACCUGUCAAAUAAAUAAAUAAAUAAAUAAAUCUUUUAAAAAAGAUAAAAGAAAAAUAUAAUCUCAUAUCUUGAUAUUAAUUCAAGGAUAUCAUUAUCUGAUGUAUUUUCACAAUUUUAACCUUGAACUGACAUGACUUUAUUGGAGAAGACCAGAGAUAUUUUAGUUGGCUUCAUUACUGAGAGAAUGUUUGGGGCUGGCCAACGACUCAUAAUACUUUGAGGAUGCCUUAAAUAAAUAUUACAAGAGGAUUAGAUUACAGAUAGAAUUUUUCUCCUCAAAACUGGGAUUUUACAUUUCAAAUUUUUCCUCAUGUAUCUAAAUGACCCAAAUAAUAUAUUGGCUAAUGGGUUGAAGUAAAGAAAGAUAGCUUGGUGAACUACCAACUAACAUGUAACCGCAACACCAGUAGGCAUGACUCAUUUGGGUAUUGUAAGCAUUACGUCCUGUGUGUUUUAUGAUAACAAUGCUAGGAAAACCAACAUUUGUGCAACAUGUAGCCUGGUUGGUAAGUAGAUUUAAUUAUAUUUUGUGAGAUUUAGUAUUUGGGGUUGGUGUGGUGAAUUGCAGUAGUGUAUUUACAAUGUAUGUUAGAAUAAAUUUUAUUACAUUAUGAAUUUCCUAUAAGUCUUUUCUUACAUAAUCAUCUGUAAUCUAAAAAAAGUUCAGAGGAUGUUUUUCCAUUACGAAAGCCAAUUAAAUUGAAAAUACAAGCAUAAUAGAAUUCUCUGAAUAUCAUAGCCUAUUUGGAUGGGAGUGGCUUCUUACAGAUAAACAUGAGAUCAAAGGGCAGAGAUGAAAGUGCUUUAUAGUCAUAAUUCUUAUUUUUCUAUGAAUAUUUAGAUCCUUGAUACUCAGAGUAUGGUCUGAGGACUGGUAACAUGGACACCUCCUAGGAGCUUGUCAGAAAUGCAUAAUCUCAGUUCUCACACUAGAUUCCAAAUUAGAAUUAAAUAAGAUCCCUAGGUAAUUCACAUCCAUGCUAAAUUUUUAGAACUGCUGAUAUGUAGAGCUUUUUUUCUUUAAAGGUCUUUGGAAGUAGACACACAGAAUUUCACUAUUUGAUGAUGUAAUGGAAUGGAGUAAGACACCCUCCUCCCUUCCUAUAGGAGCAGAGUUAUGAGUCCAAAAGCAUGUGUAUAGAACUGAUGGCUCCAGUCCAUAUGGAUAAAAUAAGAGUUUUUCUUUAUUACUGUGGUUACUCUUGUAACAUUAGGCAAGUUUUGAAGUAGUGUGAUGUCCCUUAACACCAACAGGCUAGUAUUUUUUCCUUCCUUCCUUCCUUCCUUCCUUCCUUCCUUCCUUCCUUCCUUCCUUCCUUCCUUCCUAUAUUUCUUUCUAUCUUUUCUUUCUUUCUUUUUUUUUGGGGGGGGGGGCCCGGGAGCAGGGUCAAGUUUGUGGUAAUAAAAUAAACUUGUUUUCUCAUGGUAGAUUGCAUUGUGCUAUUUCUGGUAAACAGCAAUUUUUCCUUUGACAAGAUGUGUUUGCUUCCUAGGUAAUUAACAAGAAAAUUAACUUCAUUAAUCCACAUUCAAGAGAUUGAAGUGGAUUUAUGCAUUCUACUUUAGGCAUAGAACUUAUUCCUAUAACUUUUUUGGGGGUGACAACAACUUCGAGGGCUGGCUGCAUCUUGGGUUCUUGGGAAUUAUGGAAUUGUACUCAAAGGGAAUAUGAAAUUCUCCAAUUUUUGUGACAAGUUAAGAGUUUUCUCAGGUAUUGAAUAGAGAAACAAGGAGCCAGCAUUCGACAAAUAGGAAUUGAUUUUGAAUUUGAAAUUUGAAGUAUAAGAACUUAAAGCUAGCAUUGUGAGGGCAGUUUGAAGGAAUAAAGAAAGGAGAGAAGUCCCAAAUGAGAACAUUCAAAAGAGUUUUCUACUAGUUAAUGGUUUUUGACUUUUGUUAGAAUUGCCUGGGAAGCUUUUAAAAUUUCUAAUUUUUAGAUUGCCCCCAGAUCAAUUACAUUAGAAUCUCUGAUAGGACUUAUAUAUCAGACUUUUUUUUAUUUGUUUGUUUGUUGUUUUAAAUUUCUAGGUCAUUUGAUUUUGUAACUAAGAUUCAGAAUCAUGGAAAAUCCAAGUUUGUGAAGUUCCCUGCCCUUAUGUGUUUCAUGUAGGCAGAAAGUGUUAUAACAUCUUGAUCAUUUGAAGAAAGACUAAGGAAUAAAUGAGACAAGGAGAUUCUUCAGGGAAUCAGUAGGCAAAUCUGUGCCUGGACACCAGAGACAGAAUGACCAAAUUCUUUGGUAAUGUUUUUCAUUUCCUCUUCUCAACUUCUAUAAUGUAGCAAGAAUACCGUGAGUUGAGUGUGGUAGCUAGCCUCCAAGGUAGCCGUCAGUGACACUUUUCUCCUAAUAUUCAUACCCUUCAAUAAUUCUCUCCAUGUUGAAUCACUCUGGGCUGACUUGUGUGAUCCAUUGCAUAUGCUAGAAGUGAUGGUGUGGGACAUUCAAGUCUAGGUUGUAAAAGGUAUUACAACUUUUAAUAUCUUGGAUCACUAGUUCUACCAGAAGUCAGUCACUACUGGUGUGAUAACACUCAAGAAGUCUUAUGGAGGGAGAACAAUUUGCCAGCCAUUUCAGUAAGGCACUUUUGAAAUGAAUCAUCUAGCACAAUGAAUUUGUUCAGAUGACUGUAGCCCCUGCGAAUAUCUAAUUACCACCUUAUGAGCGAUCAUAAGCCAGAACUAUUCUAUUUAGCUCAUCCUGAAUUCCUGGCCCACAGAGCACAUGAAAUACUGAUUAAUGUUUUUAAGCUAAUCAAAUUUGGAAUGAUUUGUUACACACAGUAAAUAAUUAAUACAGCAGGGCUUAUUCAAAUUCUGACUACCUCAUGAAGCCAUAUUUAUAGGUCACUUCUCCUGCAUGAAAACAGAGCGAAUAUUUAAACAAAAACUUACUUUUAACUCUAUUUUAAAUUAUGUUGGCUACUCUUUUAACCAACUACUUAAGAAUAUGGCAAAAAUUAUUGUGUAAUUAAACCUGUAGCCUUUCAACAAGUCUUUUUUUUUAAAGAUUUAUUUAUUUAUUAAAAGUUAAUUACACACAGAGAGAAUGAGAGAGAGAGAGAGAGAGAGAGAGUCUUCCAUCCACUGGUUCACUCCCCAAUUGGCCACAAAUGGCUAGAACUGCACCUAUCCAAGCCAGGAGUCAGGAGCUUCUUCUGGGUCUCCCAUGUAGGUGCAGGGACCCAAGGAUUUGGGCCAUCUUCUACUGCUUUCCCAGGCCAUAGCAGAAAGCUAGAUGGGAAGUGGAGCAGUCAGGAUUCAAACCAGUGUCCUUAUGGGAUGCGGGCACUGCAUGUGGCAGUUUUACCUGCUGCGCCACAGCACUGGCCUCUCAACAAGUCUUAACAAGUAACUGAAUAGUAUUUGACCUAUAGAAUAACAACAUUCAGUAGAACUUUCUGCAAUUAUGGAAAUUUGUGUGUAUCUGUUGCACAGCAUAGUAGUCACUAACUACUAUUGAGUCUUGAAAUCAAGGUAGUGCAAUUGAGGGAUUGAAUUUUUAAUUAUAUUUAAUUUAAAUCAUGACUAUCAGCUUGACAAAACAGUUCCAUACAGUUCCUGGGAUGAAUGCAGAGAUGAUUUAAAAUUCUGCCCUAGUUUGUAAAUUGUGAAUUGAGAAUAAGUGGAAAAUUCAGCAAUGGGGACAGUUUAUCUAUGGUACAGUCAAUAAAAAAUUAAAUCCCAUUUAAAAAGUUUUAUUGAUUUAUUUUACUUAUUUGAGAGAAGUGUGUGUGUGUGUGUGUGUGUAAGAGAGAGAGACAGACUGAAAGGGGGAGAGAGAGAGAGGAAGGAAAGAAAAAUGAAAGGGAGACAGACAGAUCUUCGAUCUGCUGGUUCACUGUCCAAAUGCCUGCAACAGCCAGGGCAAGGUCAGGCUGAAGUUAGUGAACCCAUCUUUCACGAGGUGGGGCAGGACCCAAAAGCUUGUGCUAUCACUUGCUACUUCCUUGGAAGCUGGAUUCAAUAGUGGAGCCAGGACUCAUAUGGUAUGUGGGCAUCCCAAGCACAAUUUUAACAGGCCAAUUGCCUGCCUCAAAAUACAUCUUAUUUUAUAACCAAAUAUUUGUGCCUUGGAUGGAAAAGAUGAGAAACCAUAAAGAAACUUAUCAUAAAAGAUGGUGUAGAUUCAAGGUAUAACAGAAUUAAGAAUCUAACAAUAAAAGUUGUUUUGGAAUUUGAGAGGAAUUUUGAGUCACUGCCAAGAACAAUUAUUUGUAUCAUACAUGCUGAGCUACUCUCCAGCUACUGUAUUAUUUCUAUCUCUGAAUAUUGUCAUGUAUGUACACACUAGAACAUAUGUUUAGGAAGAGUUCUACACAAUUUACCACCAACAUAACUGAUUUAUAAUGUCUAUUACCUGAUGAUUAUGCUGUUAUUUAUGAUAGUGUGAUGAUGAUUAAAUAUAUUUAAAUCAAGCUAAUUUAUUAAGUUUACUUAGUCUCUGGUGUUUACUUAAUUGUUUAUUUAUUUUUUUAUCUAAUCAAAGCAAGUAGUCAAGUUAGAGGACCAGAAAUUCCUGACUCCCUUUUUACCUAACUCUUCCUUAUUCAAAAUUUUUAGAUACUGUACAUGGAAAACUGUGGGGAGACUUAAGUAUUAUAACCUGAAUUUUAUUUAAAAUGCACACUAAAUAGUGAUACUGUAUGGUCAUCAAAUCAUAUUUUAAUAGGAAAAAUGAAAGCACUUACUGUUAAAUUUAACUUUGGUGGUUGGGUGCCUUUUGAUAAAGAUAUUUGUGGCCAUAUAGACAUCAAUGAAUACCACUUUUGAAUGAAUCUACUUUCUUAUUUUGAAUCUGUUUAUACUAUGAAGCUGAGUUCAGUUUGGUCUAGAGCUUCACCUUACAUACACUGUUUGUUUUAAAAGUUUAUCCUUACAUAGUAAACUAAAACCUAACGUAUUGUAUAAAUAGAUUAUCAUCUACCAUUGUAAUAGGUAAUUGAAUCUAAGUCAAUCAUAUGACUCUAAUUGGUCAAAAAACAUUUAAAUAAGACAGAUGUGAACUGCAACCAAGCAGGCUGUCUCUGCCUCACUUCCAUUUUCUAUAUGUCACUUCCUUUUCUCUAGUUAUAAAUCUAACCUGCGCCUAUUGUGGGGCAGAGUGGCCUUGAACCUAUUCUGGUUCUGUGGCUUUCAGUUGGGUAAAUUGUUUAUUGCCCAGUUAAACUGUUGAAUUUAAUAUGUCUAAAAUUUUUCACUUAACAAUAUUAAUCACUAAACUUUUCUGCUUAUUAUUACAAAAAUAGUAUGAGAUUAAUUUGAGAAAAAAAAUCAAACAAGUAGAAAAAAAUUCACCAACAACCUAUUCCUUAUGAUGAUCCAAGUUGUGUUUACACCACACAUUUUCAUAGAAAUGUUUUCUGAACUAUGUUUAUACAUACACACACAGUUUAUAAAAUGAGUUCAUAUCCUAUAUACUUGCUUAAAGUUUUCAUUUAAAAAAUCCAACAGUCAUUUUGUGCCACUAAAUAUACAAUAGUUAUUUUAUUUAAUGCUAAAUACUGAAAUAAUGUUUAAUAAUUACCAUGUUUUUGAGAGUAUUUAAUAUAUAUUUGUGUAUAUAUUAAUAUUAUAAUUCCAAAAUGUGCAUUCUAGAAACAUGUCUUAUACUUUUUCAACAAAUCAUAAUUCUACCAAAAUGGGGAAAAUAAUAACUCAAAACAAUGAGAACCUCUUUUUGUUUGAGACAAGAGUCAGAUGUACACAGAUAUUCCAUCUAAGGAUGUGGACUUGCUGCAGAGAACUUAGUCUUUCCCUGAGUACUGAAGGAGAGAGCAUCACAUUGUUUGGAAAAUGUUUGAAAUGUGAAGUCACUGAAACAUAUGUUACUCCACCAAUCUCUCAGGGUCUACCAGAAUGAUUUUUCUUUUAAUUCUGAAGUUUUAAGGGUUCAGUAUAGAGUGUUUGGGAUGGAAGAGUUAAAAAUCUUCAUUCUUCCUUUGCCUAUCUUAAUACCUCUGCUUCUUCCUGGUCUUUCCUGCCCUAUUCUAAAAUGAACUGUUUUCAUCUGAAUUCUCCUGGGGGAACCCAAACAUAUAGUUUUGAAAGAGUGUUUGACAUAAGAAUAAGAGCAAUUAAGGCAUUUUUUGGAAACACAUUGAUAAGUGAUGAAGAGAAAAGGAAACUAUUUUGUACCACUUAACUUCAUUAAAACGCAUUUUUUUCUAACUGGAACAAGUAGACUAAAUACUUUGAGGAAAUGUUGAGUAAUUGAGUGACUUUGAGGCCUUAGGCAUACAUUGACUAAAUAUUUUUUCCUCAUUCCACCCACAUGUCUCUAUGCUAGGGUUACAUUAUAUCUUGGGAUCCAUUUUAGGCACUGUGGAUGGGCACUGUACUAAUAAAUAUUGAUGAAGUCUACACUCAUAAGCAAGGGGUAGGUAGAAAACUACAGAUAAAGUGAACAAUUAAUGAACUUUGUAGGAUGAUGUAUGGUAUCUACUGUGAGACAGUUACACUCUAGUUGUUUUUUUUUUUUUUUUUUUUUUGACAGGCAGAGUGGACAGUGAGAGAGAGACAGAGAGAAAGGAGAAGGUCUUCCUUUUGCCGUUGGUUCACCCUCCAAUGGCCGCCACGGCCGGCGCGCUGCGGCCGGCGCACCGUGCUGAUCUGAUGGCAGGAGCCAGGAGCCAGGUGCUUAUCCUGGUCUCCCAUGGGGUGCAGGGCCCAAGCACUUGGGCCAUCCUCCACUGCACUCCCUGGCCACAGCAGAGAGCUGGCCUGGAAGAGGGGCAACCGGGACAGAAUCCGGCGCCCCGACCGGGACUAGAACCCGGUGUGCCGGCGCCGCAAGGCGGAGGAUUAGCCUAGUGAGCCGCGGCGCCGGCCACACUCUAGUUUUUAAGGAAUAUCAGAGAAUAAAAUUUCUGAUAAACAUCUGAACUAUGAAAUUUUUGUAUUAGCCUUCAAACAUGAUGAUAAGACAUUUCAUGGGAUAAUUGACUUUAAUUUUUUAGUAUAAUACAAUCUUGUACAAUGGAUUAUCAUGUAUAUAAUUUAUAAACCUUUGGUGAUGAUGUUGAUCAGCUCUACAAGUUAGUAUACCUUAAUUCAAGAUAAAUCUUGUGAAAUAUAUAUGAUUAUGCAGUUGUUGGAAUCUCUGGAGAAUAGAAAACUCAGUGGGUAAAAUUCAUUUCAAUUAUUUGAAUGCCUCUGGCAAUUAUUUUUGCAAGGACACCAUAGUUAGAUGGUGAAUUAAAUGAGAGCUGUUGAGAUUUAUUGCAUAUCUGUUAUGCAUUGGUAAAUGGCUCUCAUUUUUGAAUGUAGUUUAAGUAGGCUAUCUUAUUUUCCUUUUUGGCUCAGUGUUUCUGCUGAUAAUUUUGAUAGAGUGUUAUAAAUGAGAUGCAUAGGUUGGAUAUAGAGCUACAACUAUAAGGGACAGGCCCAAGAAUAAAGGUGAUGUCAACUGACAGGCACAUCAGGGCAAACAAUGAAAUGAGAGUAAGCAGAGACAAGUUUUGAGUUCUGUUUAGGCUCAGAAAGUCAGCUGCAUGAGAGUGAGUUGGCUUGGCUACAGUACAGAUGGCAAAGUUCUGGGAUUUCUAUCUGAUGACAACCAUAACAUAGGCCAAUGAUAUGAUGUGGCUGUUAGAAAAAUAGACUAACACAAUCUUAGGCUGCCCUAAUGAAAUACUGUGCCUAGCACAGUAGGAGCAAUAGAAAAAACAAUUUCCCCAAAUUCUGUUUUACUGAGAUGAUUUAUGAAAUAAAGUGUCAAACACCUUGCAUUAUGUUUUAAGACUUUCUUUAUUGGUGCAUAUUCAGGAGAAGGCACAGUAUUCAAAAAUCAUAUCUUUUGAGACAAAACUGAAAAUAAAGGGUAUGAGGUUUUCCUGUAGGAGAAAAGACCAAGGAGAUAUCUGUAGAGUUCCUUUGUCCAUGUGGCAAAAUUUUAUGUUUAAUAAGCCAAAGAAGAUCAAUAUAGAGUAUCAACUUGAGGCUAGAAAGAUGAAGAUUUUUCUCUAAUAUAAAAAAAAAGUGUUACUCAAAACACAGCUAACAUGUGAAGGUGGAAUCCCUUAUACCAAAGUCAUAUAAUCCCAAAGAUUCAUCUUAGAGUGGGGACUUGAUCAGAAGGUAAUCAGUUAUCUCUAAUCGCAUAAAUGUAUCCCCAAAUUUACAGGGUUAAACGAUGAUUUUAUUUUAAUUACCCAUUUCUGAAUCAGGGAUUUAGAAUUUGUCUGUGUAAUUCUCACUUGAGAUGUCUCAUGUGGUUGCAAUUAUAUACCAACUGAAGCCGCAACCAUAUGAAGAGUUUAUUGGGUUGGAUGUCAAAGGUGAUUCUCUCACCACGUAGGUGGGUUUUGCUAAAUAAUUGGUUUAGAGUUCAGCUCAAGCAGUCAAGAAGAGGAAGUACAUGGGACCUCUUUCUGUGUCCUCCACUUCCUUUACUUUUAAAAUUUAUUUUUUAUUUAUUUGAAAGACAGUUGCAGAGAGAGGAGGAAGAGAGAGAGAGAGAGAUAGAGAGAGAUUGAUCUUCCAUCUGCUGGUUCACUUCCCAAAUACCCACAAUGGCUGGGGCUGGACCGAAGCCAGGAGCCUAGAGCUACUUCCAGGUCUCUCUCUUGGGCACAAAACCCCAAGCACUUGUGCCACGUUCUGUUGCUUUCCCAGGCAUAUUAAUAUAGAGCUGGAUAAGAACUUGAGCAGCUAGGUCUCAAACCAGCACCCAUUUGGAUGCUGGCAUCACAGGCAGAGACAACCUGCUAUGCAACAAUGACAGACCCCUCCACUUCCUUACACCAUGAUUGUUUCAGGGUAGUAGGGCUUCUUAACAUGGUGACUCAAGUUUAUAAAUGCAACUGUACCUCUGCACAGAGACUAGAAGUAUUAGCCCUAUGAUGUAAUGUUAGGUAUAUAUGACAUCACUUUUCCUGAAUUAUAGCAUUUGCAAGUGAGUCAGAAACCCAUAUACAUACAUGAAAGGGAGACAUGGAUCUACAUUUGAUGGAAGCAAUGUCCAAAAUUUGCAAAUAUUUAAUUAAACAGUCACAAAUUACCUCUUAAUUAAAUUGAAACUGGAAGUCUCUAAUUUUAUGAAAUUUAUUUAGUGAUGAUAAGAUUUUCAAAGGUGAUAGGGAAUUUUGAUACCUUCUAAAAUUUGAGAUUGCUAUCAGGCACUUCUUCAAAUCAUUCAUGAGUAUUAUCACACAAAGCAAUUUUAGUUUGCUUUAACACAGAAGCAUAUUGGAUAUUAUGUAAAAUACACAGCUACAAUUUUGAGUUCUCCUAAGUAAUUCGCUGGAAAUUAUGACUUUAAAUAUAUAAAAUACUUUUAAAGCAAUUUGAUAAAUUGGGAAAGUUUAGCAGGUUUACAUCAGUGGGGAAGCCAUGAUGAGAAAGGCAUGCAAAUGAGGUCAGACAAUGUGGAGCUUCUACACUUGUCUUGUUGGGUAGAAAUAUCUAUUGGAUUUUUUUAAAUGAAUGUGUUAACUGUGUGGUGACAGAUAAACUGGAAGUGCUGUUCCUUAUAGGCAUAUGUAGUUAAUGCUCAUCGGGAUAAAGGCAUAACCCUUAGUGGAAUCUCAAAUCAAAUAACUACUCAAGGCAGUGUAUAUGUGCUGGUUUCCAUUACUUAGUAUCUAGUUAAUUCCUAAGCACCUUGAUUCAGAUUGAACUAUGGCUCAUAUUUGCCCACUGGUGUUUGGAGAACCCUUUGGGUUCCCCUGGUAUCUGAUUUGGAAUGUAUCUCAAAUCUACUUCUGCUGCU